GAACGCACCUUGCGCCCCUUGGAUAUUCCGAAGGGCAUGCCUGUUUGAGUAUCAUGAACACCUCAACUCUCAUGGUUUGCCAUGAUGAGCUUGGACUUUGGGGGUUCUGCUGGCCCAUGGUCGGCUCCCCUUAAAUGGAUCAGCUUGCCAGUGUUUUGGUGGGAUCCCAGGUGUGAUAACUAUCUACGCUUGUGGCUUUCCGUCAAGCAACCUUCAGCAAUGAGGGUUCGCUGGGGCUCAUAAACGUCUCUCUUGUGGAGACAGGUUUUUGAAGUUUGAUCUCAAAUCAGGUAGGACUACCCGCUGAACUUAAG
rnacentral:misc_RNA from 1 species